rnacentral:rRNA from 1 species
AGUCCCAGUUCCAUCAGAGCCCCGAGUCCCGACCGACCGAGACCCGACGCCCUCACGCCCGACUCGCGGCUCCCAACCGCAGCCAGCGAGUCGUCCCUCUCCUCUCGCCGCCCCACUCCCCUCCCCUCCGCUAGGGUUCCCCGCCCCGCCCGCGCCGCUCCGCUAGGGUUCCUCACGCCGCCGCUCCGCUAGGGUUCCUCACGCCGCCGCCGACCCCGCCCACCGCCCAGCCCCGUCGCCCCUCCCGCCCACCCCGACGCCACCCAUAAUUGCACACAUACAUACACAUACAUCCGACCCAACGCACGACCUUCGGUUGCGGCCGGUGGUUCGCCGCCGACCGCCGCCUCACGUCGCCCGCUCUCGUCCCACCCCACUCCGGCGUCGCGCCCCUCCCGCCUCGACCCCGCCCGCAGUCCCUGGGCGCUGUUUCCCCGAGGUAACAUUCCUCCUGUUAUCCGUGUCGUUUGAUGCGGUUUAAUGGCGAGUAAUAUGCAGACUCCUGGUCCGCCUCAGCCCCCCCGGCCUCCUAUGAUGGGUUCUACCGCACCACAAAAUAUGGGACAACCAAUGCCCAUGCAGUGGCCACCUGGUCCGCCACAACAGCCUCCUCAGUUCAUGCAACCAGCGCCACAACAGUAUCGGCCUGUUGGUCAGGCCAUGCCAGGAGUUAACAUGGGCAUGCCAGGGCAGAUGCAACAUUUUCAGCAACCUGGGCCACAUAUGCCUCACUCUGGUCAUGUUCCGCCUGCAUCGCAAGCUGUUCCUAUGCCGUACCAGGCAGCCAGACCUAUGUCAUCAGCUCCUAUGCAGCCACAGCAGCAAGCUGUAUUCCCUGGUGGACUUAUGCCCACCAUGGGCACCCCUAUGCCGCCUCCUUCUUAUACCUAUCAACCAACAUCGGUUCCUCCUGGAUCUCAACCCUGGGGCACAGUCCCGGGUCAGGGCGCACCUCUUGUGUCGCCGAUGGUGCAGCCUGGGCAUCAGUCUCUCUCAGCUUCAGUGCCCCCAUUAGCAAAUGUGCAGGUGAGCUCAACUGAACCUAGCUCUGCGGAUUGGCAAGAGCACAGUUCAGGGGAUGGAAAGAAGUACUAUUACAAUAAGAGGACAAAGCAAUCAAGUUGGGAGAAACCUGCUGAGUUGAUGACCCCUUUGGAGCGGGCUGACGCUUCAACUGAAUGGAAAGAAUUUACUACAGCAGAAGGGCGGAAGUACUAUUACAACAAAGUGACAAAGCAAUCCAAAUGGUCUAUUCCUGACGAGCUAAGGAUUGCACGUGAAUUAGCAGAAAAGACAUCAAAUCAGCAGCCUGCCCGGGAGACUGAAUCCACUACUGUUGCCCCUGUUGGAUCCACUUCUGUUUCUGUGGAGCCUUCCUUACCUGCCAAACAGUCUUCAUCUUUAGUAGGAACAAUUGCUCCAAGCUCCCAUGAUGCGAUAGCAAACUUGCCUCCUCCUGGUGCUGGCCCGUCGUACAAUGGGGUUAUAUCUUCUUCUAGUUCCAUGCAAAACGGUGGAACAAGUGCUGCUGUGGUUGCCCCUGUUACAACGAGCACUGGAGAUCCAUCGGUUGCAAGUGAUGCAGGGACAAACAGAAGCACUUAUGGAAGUUCAUCUGUACCUAGUACUACUGACACAAAAGUUGGAGCAUCUGCCGAAGAUUUGGAGGAGGCCAAAAAGACGAUGCCAACUGCAGGGAAGAUCAAUGUUACUCCGCUGGAGGAUAAAACAAGUGAAGAAGAACCUGUUGUUUAUGCUACUAAGUUGGAAGCAAAGAAUGCAUUUAAGUCCCUGCUUGAAUCGGCAAAUGUUCAGUCAGAUUGGUCAUGGGAUCAGGCUAUGAGAGUUAUUAUAAGUGACAAAAGAUAUGGUGCCCUGAAAACUCUUGGAGAGAGAAAGCAAGCUUUCAAUGAGUACUUAAACCAGCGGAAAAAGAUUGAAGUUGAGGAGAGGCGUGUCAAGCAAAGGAAAGCACGUGAUGAUUUUCUCACAAUGCUGGAAGAAUGUAAGGACCUUACAUCAUCACUGAGAUGGAGCAAAGCAAUUACUAUGUUUGGGCAUGAUGAAAGGUUCAAUGCUGUUGAACGCCCCAAGGAGCGUGAAGAUUUAUUUGAGAACUAUCUCGUGGAGCUACAAAAGAAGGAAAAAGCAAAGGCUGCUGAAGAGCACAAAAGACGAAUAGCAGAAUAUAGAGAAUUUCUUGAGUCAUGUGAUUUCAUCAAGGCAAACACCCAGUGGCGAAAAGUUCAAGAUCGGCUAGAGGAUGAUGAACGCUAUGCUCGACUUGAGAAGAUUGACCGCUUGGAUGUUUUUCAAGACUAUAUAAGGCAUCUUGAAAAAGAAGAGGAAGAACAGAAGAGAAUUCGGAAGGAGCAAUUAAGGAGACAAGAACGGAAAAACCGCGAUGAGUUUCGGAAGAUGAUGGAAGAACAUGUUGCUGAUGGCACACUUAACGCAAAAACUUACUGGCGUGACUACUGUUCACAGAUAAAAGAUUCACGUGCUUACCUGGCAGUUGCUUCAAACUUGUCUGGCUCGAUGCCAAAAGAACUCUUUGAUGAUGUCAUGGAGGAGCUUGAUAAGCAGUAUCAAGAUGAUAGGGCUUUAAUUAAAGAUGAAGUGAAAUCUGGAAAGAUUCCUAUGUUGGCCUCAUGGACAUUAGAGGACUUCCAAGCUGCUGUUACUGAGGACGAAAAAUAUAAAGGAGUGUCAAACAUAAAUAUCAAGCUUAUUUAUGAGGACCAAAUUGAAAGGCUCAAGGAAAAGGAUCUAAAGGAGGCCAAGAAGCGUCAGCGACUGGGUGAUAAUUUUCUGGAUCUACUGUAUUCAAUCAAGGAAAUUACUGCUGCUUCAACAUGGGAUGAUUCUAAAUCACUAUUUGAUGAUACCCAGGAAUACAGGGAUCUGGGUGGCGAGACAUAUGCUAAAGAGCUUUUUGAAGAGUAUAUUGCCCGCCUCAAAGAAAGGCUUAAAGAGAAAGAGCGCAUGAGGGAAGAAGAGAAGGCGAAGAAAGAGAAAGACCGUGAAGAGAGAGACAAGAAGAAAGAGAAGGAAAAGGAAAAGAAGGAGAAAGAUCGCAAAGAAAAAGAAAGAGACCGAGAGAAGGAAAGAGAAAAGGAAAAAGGAAAAGACCGGUCAAGGAGAGAUGAAAUGGAUAUUGAUGAUGAUGUGGAAAUUCAUGCCUCGAAAGAUAAGAAACGAGAGAAGGAUAAAGAAAAGAAGCAUAAAAGGCGCCACCAUGACACCACAGAUUCUGAAAGGGAUGAGAAGGAUGACUCGAGGAAAUCUCGAAGGCAUAGCAGUGAUCGCAAGAAAUCUAGGAAGCACACCCAUGCUUCAGACUCAGAUAGUGAAAACCGGCAUAGAAGACACAAAAAGGAUCGAGAUAGUUCCCGCAAAAAUGGUGGGCAUGAGGAGCUUGAAGACGGUGAACUUGGAGAAGAUGGGGAGAUCCAUUAGGCUUUGCUUUUACCUCCAAGAUUUUAGCAUAAAACUGGUUGGCCUAUACUUUUGACCUUGCUCAGGGGAGCUUUGUCGUCUAACUUUUGUGGUGUAGCGGUGCAUUUAGCUCGGACGAUUUAGUGUAUGUUUGCAAGUUACUAGUUUUAUGCUUAUAUCACUAAACAAGUUUCUUACUGACAAUUUUGGGUGAGACAUCAGAGUUUGGGUAGUGGUGUCCUGAUUGUAGGCAAUAUGGUUUUUGACAAAGCCAGUGAUGGACAGUUCCAUGCGCCUGCUACCAUUGAUUCAGCAUGGACAUGGAUGCCUGUAGCCGCACUAACAACACUUGUUUGCAAGAGGGGCAGCCGCUGCAGCAGUUCAUCAUCUUUCACAGCAAUGAGUAAUUUGACAGUUCUGUCAUGAGGGGAUUUAAGUUUGAUGAGAUUGUAAGAUGUGUACAUGCGUAUGCAUGAAUGCAUACUCAUAGUCAGCUGAUCUUGUCACAGGAUGCCUGGUUUUACUGGCAAGAUGUUCCGAGUAGCGAUGCAAGUGGCGCCGCAGCAACUGCCCUGUUCCGCCGGCCAAAUCAGCUGUAGUAGUUUUUUCGUGUCAUUAGUAUAAUUUGUACUGUGAUAGCUGCUUAACUGUCUGUUGCUGGCGCACCUCUUGCAUCCUAGUUUUGAGUGUAGCUAUCAUCAACUUGAUUUCUACACUGAAGUAUAUACAUGUUUGUUUGUGUGUUAUUAAUCCUUGUAACCCAGCCGUUCUGAAUGUUGUGUGUUAAUGCUUGUAACCCAGCUGAAGAGGGUUAGCUGUUAGCCAUGGUGUGCAGCUUAUAUAUUAUUGAACGGUAAGGUUUAUACAUUCUGUUUAUGCAGGGAAGCGGACGUUUGGUUUCCGGUUAUUGUUGCUCUCUGUUGGUGAAUCAUGUUCUGCAGUAUAUCUAUUUUCGGCCUGUAAGGUUUAUAUGAUAUGUUUAUGGAACUUUGCGUAGGUUCAGUUGUGUGUUAUUGUUUUAAUCACAUACUGCUUGAGCUAUGCAUUUUUCUGUCAGUUUGUACUGCUGAACACAGCUUAGUGACUGCCUUGCGGUUACAUCUAGCAUAGAUUUGGACUUGGCUGGUUGUCACAUGUUUAUACUUUAGAAGGGGUUAUGUAAAAUUCACUGCCGAACAUGAGUAAUAGCUGUUGUAGGUGUCCACAAUUUGUUAGGCAAUAGUUGUAUCAAAAUUGAUCUGUGUCGGUGCCAUGGCAGUUAUGAUGGUGUGAGCAAAAGUGAAUGUGAGGAAAUAAUUCCUUAUUUAAG